CAAAAUCUCAAAAACAUUAUUAGUGAGAUCAUUGAAUACAUUAUUAAUGCUUUAAUAUUGUUUGGUAAAUUCCAUAUUCAUAAAUGUAGAGUAUUGAAAAGGAAUUUACACAGACUUCUGGUUGACUUUGAACAAUGUAUAAGAAGUAUUAAGCUUAUACACUGUCCCAUAUGUCCUAAAACUGUCACGCUCAAUAAGGAAUUUUUUAAAGAGAAUUAAUGUUAAAGAAUGCCUUUACUUUU